rnacentral:rRNA from 1 species
UACGUAGGGUGCAAGCGUUGUCCGGAAUUAUUGGGCGUAAAGCGCGCGUAGGCGGUUACUCAAGUCGGAUGUGAAAGCCCUCGGCUUAACUGAGGAAGUGCACCCGAAACUGAGUAGCUAGAGUACUAAAGAGGGUCGCGGAAUUCCCGGUGUAGAGGUGAAAUUCGUAGAUAUCGGGGAGGAACACCGGUGGCGAAGGCGGCGACCUGGGUAGAUACGUGACGCUGAGGCGCGAAAGCGUGGGGAGCAAACAGG